rnacentral:lncRNA from 1 species
CAUAACUGGCCCAACUUCGAGUCGAACCAGCAUCUGGGGCAAAAUCGGAUCUAACCAAACCAAAGCCGGUUUGGUUAGACUUGAUCGAACCGCACGACAGAGCGAAAUACUUGACGAUGCCUCGCGAUGCCCAAUCCGACAAUUUAUCUUUGAGGCGACCCGUCUGUCCUUCCAAGCCAUUAACCUUCUAAAUUCAUCAAGAUCAACGAGACGCUCAUCUCGAUGAACUGGGGGGACUUACUGUAGAGGGUGGAUUCGACAUCCCUCAAGGCCCGAAGAACAGACGGCCCAGCCCACUCAGAACGAAACGGUGUCUUGGCUCGACGGCUCGAAACGCGCGUCUAAGCUUCCUCGACUCAACGGAUACUCGAGACAAUAUGGGCUUCUCGGCCCAACGAGUUAAAAGCCCAUGGAGACGACGCAAACUAGGUCACGGGAGAGUACGAGGUCAACUAUAUAAAGAGAAGGGAACGCAACGAGAAAGGGAUCCGAAAUCACUGAUACUCACUGGGCGGCUAGAUUAGGGUUUUACCUUUGUUGUCUCGCCUUGUUGUAUCUCUCCGGCAAAGCCUUCGAGGCUCCGGCACCUUUCAGUUCACAUAUUUUCUUUCCUUGUAACCGACGAAACACUCUUCCGACCAUCAAUAAGACGUCUUUGCUUAANNNNNNNNNNNNUAAUAAGACGUCUUUGCUUAAACCCACAUCUAAAACCGAACGUUCUCUCGUUCCGUACCGUUUCC